ACGGAAGGCAGCAGUGAGGAAUAUUGGUCAAUGGACGCAAGUCUGAACCAGCCAUGCCGCGUGCAGGAAUAAGGCCCUAUGGGUCGUAAACUGCUUUUGUGGUGGAGCAAUAAGUCGUACGUGUACGGCGAUGAGAGUACAUCACGAAUAAGCAUCGGCUAACUCCGUGCCAGCAGCCGCGGUAAUACGGAGGAUGCAAGCGUUAUCCGGAUUUAUUGGGUUUAAAGGGUGCGUAGGCUGUGGUCCAAGUCAGGGGUGAAAGCCCGGAGCUCAACUCCGGAACUGCCUUUGAUACUGGAUUGCUGGAAGACGGAUGCCGUGGGAGGAAUGAGUAGUGUAGCGGUGAAAUGCAUAGAUAUUACUCAGAACACCGAUUGCGAAGGCAUCUCACGAAUCCGUCAUUGACGCUGAGGCACGAAAGCGUGGGGAUCAAACAGGAUUAGAUACCCUGGUA
rnacentral:rRNA from 1 species